GAAACAAAUUUUUUAUUUUUUAACUUUUUUAAAAAUGACAAUGAUGCCAAACAUAGUCUAAUUAGUAAACAUAAUGCCAAAGAUCCAAAUCCUUCCUUUAUCAUUGUUAUUUAUUUAAAUAUAUUUAUUUUUAUUAAAAAUAAAAAUAUAUGCAUCAUUCGUGCCAUAUUUUAGUGAUACAUAAACGAAAGAGAACUCUAUAAGUGUCGUUAUGAUCAAAUACUCCUUAUUCAACCAGUCACAUAUUUUUUUUUUAAGAAGAAAGUAAGCAUACCCGUCAAUUCAUUUUAGUAAUAGAUGAAACCAGAUAGUGUAAAGUAGGAGAAGAAAAAAGAGAGUAUCAAGAGAUAACAAAACACAAGAAUGAACUGAAUAUGGAAAAACAGACCAUAAUCUUUGCCCAAAGCAGCCCAGCAUCUCAAACUGCCUCACAAUGAAAUCAGCAAAACUUCAACUGCCGAUGCCAAAAAUUAGUAGCACUUCAACAGCCAUUCGCAAGGCACAGCAGCCUUCAACCACCAUGUCCAAGGUUUGAAAGAAAAAACAGCCAUACUUUUUUUCUUGGGUAAACAAAAAUUCAUUAAACCAUUCUAGUGUAAAUACAAUCCUGAGAAUCAGAAAAAAAAAGUAACAGUUGUGAAGGAAAAUCGGGCACAAAUAUCCAUAAUGUAGAUCCUGCGUGAGCCGCAACAUAUGACGCCAUCCAAUUUGCGGCACUAUUAACUUUUCUGAAAAUAUAUUUAGCUUUAAAUGUGUAUAUUCUUAAACAAUCUGUCAAGGAUGACUAUGUAAUUCUGAAGAAGUUGAAAUUGUCAACGACUUUAUAACUGUCAUAGAAUCACCUUCCUGUAUGAUAUGAGAAGCUUUCAAAGUAUUAAUUGCAAAGCACAUGCCUUUCGAUGCAGCAUGCAGUAAUCGACUGUGAUAUCAAAUAGUCUAACUUCACCAGCACUAAUCGAAUUUCUAAUAACAAAACUAGCUCUGCCCAGCUCACCUCUAUCCAAAAUACUAUCAUGAAAAAUUAACCUUGAGGAAACCAUGGGUGGCUCUUAAGUGAAAUAAAUCAUAUAGAGAGACAGAAGCCGCAAUAAAAGAGGAGCCACAAUUUUUCCCAGCUAUCAAGGAUACCUCCGAGUGAGUUAUAUCCAUAUAUUCUUGAGCCUAACUGCUUUUAGUGAAAAAUACAGUCAUUUCAAGCCAUCCAAAUAUUAUAAGCAAUAUAAAUCAUCAAAUUGGCCUCUCUAUUCCUAUUGUCUCUAGUUGACUUGUCCUUGAGAAAUUGAAGAAAAUCUUCAAGAGAAAAAGUAGGAACUAUUGCUGCAUCAGAAGAUAGGGGCUUGUCACUAUACCUGGGUCACCGCUUUGCACUGUAAUAGAAUAUAAGAUGUAGACUCCUCUAUCUCUGGACAUAGAUCACAAAAUGUUAGAAUAUGAAAACCAUGGUAUUUCAAAAUACCAUGACUAUGGAGUCGAUUCCAAGCUAUCUUCCAUAUGAACAGUGACACCCUAGGAAUGCACCCCUAAUUCCAUAUCCAACCAAUACAUUUGGAUAAAGGAGCUUCUUUCUUACAGAAUUUAUACAAAUCCACAACUUUAAACCAUCAAUCCAAAGGAAGGUCCCCAUUCUAACUUAUCUGCAGCAUCUCCAUCUAAUAUAGGAAUAGACCAAAUUCUAUAAACCAAUUCCUCUAGAAAGAAUUGCUAAAUCAAAGUAAGAUUCCAUUUAUUCUCACUUGCCACCAUAAGAUUUCUAACUCUAAGAUUCUGCAAAGAUCGAGUAUCAACAGGAGCAGGCCAACAAGCAAUGAGAGUUUCUGAAAUCCAGGGAUCCUGAGUCACAUCAUUAGAAGCCCCAUUACCUGCCAUCCAUCUAAUAUUAGAUAAAACCAUUGGAGCAUGAGAACAUAACUUCCUCUAGAUGGAUGAACAAAUCCAUGAACACACUAGAGGGGAACUAAAUGACCAAACACCAUAUUUUGCUCUCAUAAGAGAAACCCACAAUCCCUCUUAUGACAACAUAAAUUGUACUGCAUGUUUGGUUAUCAGAGCUUCACUCUGUACCACCAAAGAAGAAAUCUGCAGACCACCUGUUUUGAGCGGCUUGCAUACACAAUUCCAAGACAACAAGUAUUUACUACACUAACUUCUCAAAACCAUCUUCUGAAAACUCAAGAAGCUAUGUACCUCAAAGAAAUUGAGAAAUUAAUUGUACCAUCCUUAUCCUUUAACCAACAUUCUAAUUUCUAUUCAUGUGCUCCAUGAGAAGUGUGAGAAAAAAAAUCUACGGGUGGUUAAGAUCUAUGUGAGCAUGUAUUUAAUCUUCUAUCAACUAUACAUUGUGUAGAUCUUAGAUAUACAGAGCCAAAUAACCUAAAUAAUAAGUUAUAGCUAACUUUUUUAGAUGAGAACCUAAAUUAUUGCAAAUAUAUCAGAAUAGAUCUAGUCUAUGGCCCAUGUGGAUAAAGAUAUACUACAGUAUGUUUAAAGGCCCACAUUUUUUUGGGCUUGGGGUACAAUCCGACCCAUAAGAAGGGGGAGGGAGACUCCCGAUCGGGUCUUCUCCCUCCCCUAUUUUAAACCCAUCUUCCUCCUCCCGAAUCCACCGAAAAAAAAAAAAGAAGAAAAAGGGGGAUUGAAUCUUACCUAAAUUGAACCAAACUCCAUCUAUAAAAGAUCCCUUUCUCCUCAUCCUAGGGCAUCAACUGAGUGCCGUUCAAAAGAAAAAGGAAAGAAAAAAAAGGGGAUCCGUGAGAAACUUGGGUUGUUCGCCACCGAUCUUGCUUGAGGAACUCGCCGCCGGAGGUAAGGGAAACAAUCUAUUGGACGAGAGGACGCUGAGCAGAGUUCUGCGCAUCCUGAUGAGAGUACAAAAGUGAAAUCUUCAUAUUAUCUUAAUUAGUAUUAUAGUGUCAUUUUUAUUAAUAAAAUUAAUUAAUUAAUGUUUUAUUUGUGUUUGAGUGAAAUUAAUCCAAGAGAUCCAGUAACUCUGAUUUGAGCCCAAUGCCUGGCAGCCCAAGCUCAAUAAAUUUUCCAAACAUCCACAGCAUGGGGGCUUUGAAAUUUUCCAAUUUCCCAACCAAUCGUGGACCUCCAAGCAUCAUGGCAUCUCAUUCAAGGGACCUAAAUCAAACCCAAGGGAGCUAAGCUAAACCAGCUCUUCAAUUCCAAACGGCAUCUCAUCAGCAUUCUUCCGUUUUCCCCUGUUCUUCCCAGCUCAUUCAAACGGUGGAGCGUGCGACGGAAAGGAAGGAGGCCAGCAGCCAAGGGAGGAGAAGAGUCCCAAGCCGAGUCUUCUUAACUUCCCAACGUCAACAUGUGGAGCUUCCCAGCAUCUUCCAACCGUCCGUGGCUCCCAACGGCAGCGAGGGAAAUCCAAAAGCCAAACCGGCUUUCAUCCGUGAAACAACUCCCCAAGCUCUUUUGGAUUACAAGCAACAGAGAGCCGUUCCCAGCAAAUUAAUUCCAUCCACGAGGAGUCUUCCCAUAUUCGCAACUCCCUCCACCCUGCAUCUCAGCUGCGUUUCAUCCGGCCUCUUCAACAUGCUAUAAGAAGGCAGCCGAGCGAGCAAAGAAGGGGGAGGCCUUCCAUUUUUUGGGAUCAUCCGGAGGCGACGGGAGAAGAAGGGGAGGAUCUAUUGGCAUUAUUCCCAGCCGGACGGAACAAACCAGCAAAGAAGGAGGAGGCCUUCCAUUUUUUGGGACAUCCGGAGGCGACGGGAGAAGAAGGGGAGGAUCUAUUGGCAUUAUUCCCAGCCGGACGGAACAAACCAGCAAAGAAGGAAGAGGCCUUCCAUUUUUUGGGAUCAUCCGGAGGAGGAGGGAGAAGGACACGGAGCAAAAGGGGAGCCAACAUUCACACCUUUUCCAGCCGAGCGAGAGAGGAGAAGAGGCCACGGAAAGAAAACAGGGUGCCCUGUUUCUGAACCAAACAAAGAAAAAAAAAAGGGGAUUUAUGUUUUAUUUUAUUUAUUCUAUGCUAAUCCCUUUUAUAAAAUUGCUUGCAUCUCAUAUGGA